GAUGAACGCUGGCGGCGUGCCUAAUACAUGCAAGUCGAGCGAACGGACGAGAAGCUUGCUUCUCUGAUGUUAGCGGCGGACGGGUGAGUAACACGUGGAUAACCUACCUAUAAGACUGGGAUAACUUCGGGAAACCGUAGCUAAUACCGGAUAAUAUUUUGAACCGCAUGGUUCAAAAGUGAAAGACGGUCUUGCUGUCACUUAUAGAUGGAUCCGCGCUGCAUUAGCUAGUUGGUAAGGUAACGGCUUACCAAGGCAACGAUGCAUAGCCGACCUGAGAGGGUGAUCGGCCACAGUGGAACUGAGACACAGCCCAGCCCCCGACGGGGGGCAGAAGGAGGGAUUCUUCCGAAAGGGGCGAAGGCCUGAGGGGGCAACGCCGCGGGAGUGAUAAGGGUUUUCGUAUCUAAAAACUUUUUUAUGGGGGAAAAAAAUUUGUGUAAGUAACUGGGCACAUCUGGAGGGACCCUAAUAAGAAACCCAGGGCUACCUCCGCC
rnacentral:rRNA from 1 species